rnacentral:sRNA from 2 species
UCCGGGCGGACGCCGAGUCCUGCCGCUGCCCGGAUGACCGGUCGACAGGAGUGGAUCGGCAGGAGUGGAGGACCCAAGCACGACGGGUCGCCGGAACGGUCGUCUCCGCAUGAGAGGCGCCGGGCCGAGCAGCCCUUGGGGUGAAGCCGCAGCAGCGGCCGGGCAACUUCGCCAGCCCGAAUCCGACAGGUCAUCCUUCACAGGCGGCUGACGAAGGGUUG